ensembl:lncRNA
UAUCAUCCAAUCAGAUUCAAGACCCACCUGCUCAGUGAACCAAUAGAAGAGCAGCUUUUGGGGGCGGAGCCUCUUUAAACUGCAGAAGAAGAUGGCUGCUGCAAGGAAAGAACUCAGGUGUUGGUCUAAAAUAGACGCUCGCUGCAGAAGCAGACGUGUUUCCAGUGUGAGCGGACCACCCUGCUGCAGCUCCGUCGCAUUAUUUACUGCUGCAGACGUGUUGGUGGACAUACAAACACACAUGUAGCCCCCCUCCACCUCCAUAAGUGGAAGCACCUCCUCCUCCUCUCUGCCCUCGCUGAGCUUCCAGUUCCUCCUGAACUCAACAACACAGCAAACAGGUCAGAUUCUUCUUCUUUUCUGCUGCUUUCUGCUGCUCGUCACUCUGCCUCCUGCUGCUGCUGGGGUUUUAUUCAUAUAUUUGGUGAAAAGGUUGAAAAAUUCCUCAUUUCCACAUCAUAAAAAUGCACAAACUUGUCC